rfam:Nocardia sp. NRRL S-836 P437contig30.1, whole genome shotgun sequence.
CGGGGCGUGGCGCAGUUUGGUAGCGCACCCGCUUUGGGAGCGGGGGGUCGCAGGUUCAAAUCCUGUCGCCCCGA